rnacentral:tRNA from 13 species
GUCAGGAUGGCCGAGCAGUCUAAGGCGCUAGAUUUAAGCUCUGGUUCUCGAAAGAGAGCGUGGGUUCAAGCCCCACUCCUGACA